rnacentral:lncRNA from 1 species
CUUAUAAAAUAAUUUAAGAAUGAAUUUUAUAUCAAGAAUUAGAAUAUUGAAAUAUUUGUGGAUGAGAUUCAAGCAAGAAACUAUGAAGACUCAAGCAAGAAAAAUUUUGAGGACGAAAUUUCUUUUAGAGGGGAAGAAUGUGAUGGCCCGGCCCGAACAAGAAUCCCAACCCACCAAAGCCCAAACAAAAAAAAAAGAAAAAAAAAUAGGGGAGUCUUCCUCCUCUUGCCGGCUCCC